rnacentral:rRNA from 1 species
AGAGUUUGAUCCUGGCUCAGAUUGAACGCUGGCGGCAGGCCUAACACAUGCAAGUCGAACGGUAACAGGGAGCAGCUUGCUGCUUCGCUGACGAGUGGCGGACGGGUGAGUAAUGUCUGGGAAACUGCCUGAUGGAGGGGGAUAACUACUGGAAACGGUAGCUAAUACCGCAUAACGUCUUCGGACCAAAGUGGGGGACCUUCGGGCCUCAUGCCAUCAGAUGUGCCCAGAUGGGAUUAGCUAGUAGGUGGGGUAACGGCUCACCUAGGCGACGAUCCCUAGCUGGUCUGAGAGGAUGACCAGCCACACUGGAACUGAGACACGGUCCAGACUCCUACGGGAGGCAGCAGUGGGGAAUAUUGCACAAUGGGCGCAAGCCUGAUGCAGCCAUGCCGCGUGUAUGAAGAAGGCCUUCGGGUUGUAAAGUACUUUCAGCGGGGAGGAAGGCGUUGUGGUUAAUAACCACAGCGAUUGACGUUACCCGCAGAAGAAGCACCGGCUAACUCCGUGCCAGCAGCCGCGGUAAUACGGAGGGCGCAAGCGUUAAUCGGAAUUACUGGGCGUAAAGCGCACGCAGGCGGUUGAUUAAGUCAGAUGUGAAAUCCCCGGGCUCAACCUGGGAACUGCAUUUGAAACUGGUCAGCUUGAGUCUCGUAGAGGGGGGUAGAAUUCCAGGUGUAGCGGUGAAAUGCGUAGAGAUCUGGAGGAAUACCGGUGGUGAAGGCGGCCCCCUGGACGAAGACUGACGCUCAGGUGCGAAAGCGUGGGGAGCAAACAGGAUUAGAUACCCUGGUAGUCCACGCCGUAAACGAUGUCGACUUGGAGGUUGUGCCCUUGAGGCGUGGCUUCCGGAGCUAACGCGUUAAGUCGACCGCCUGGGGAGUACGGCCGCAAGGUUAAAACUCAAAUGAAUUGACGGGGGCCCGCACAAGCGGUGGAGCAUGUGGUUUAAUUCGAUGCAACGCGAAGAACCUUACCUGGUCUUGACAUCCAGAGAAUCCUGCGGAGAUGCGGGAGUGCCUUCGGGAACUCUGAGACAGGUGCUGCAUGGCUGUCGUCAGCUCGUGUUGUGAAAUGUUGGGUUAAGUCCCGCAACGAGCGCAACCCUUAUCCUUUGUUGCCAGCGGUUCGGCCGGGAACUCAAAGGAGACUGCCGGUGAUAAACCGGAGGAAGGUGGGGAUGACGUCAAGUCAUCAUGGCCCUUACGACCAGGGCUACACACGUGCUACAAUGGCGCAUACAAAGAGAAGCGACCUCGCGAGAGCAAGCGGACCUCAUAAAGUGCGUCGUAGUCCGGAUUGGAGUCUGCAACUCGACUCCAUGAAGUCGGAAUCGCUAGUAAUCGUGGAUCAGAAUGCCACGGUGAAUACGUUCCCGGGCCUUGUACACACCGCCCGUCACACCAUGGGAGUGGGUUGCAAAAGAAGUAGGUAGCUUAACCUUCGGGAGGGCGCUUACCACUUUGUGAUUCAUGACUGGGGUGAAGUCGUAACAAGGUAACC